rnacentral:rRNA from 1 species
CGUGGGAAUCUGCCCUUGGGUUCGGAAUAACGUCGGGAAACUGACGCUAAUACCGGAUGAUGACGAAAGUCCAAAGAUUUAUCGCCCAGGGAUGAGCCCGCGUAGGAUUAGCUAGUUGGUGAGGUAAAGGCUCACCAAGGCGACGAUCCUUAGCUGGUCUGAGAGGAUGAUCAGCCACACUGGGACUGAGACACGGCCCAGACUCCUACGGGAGGCAGCAGUAGGGAAUAUUGGACAAUGGGCGCAAGCCUGAUCCAGCA